rnacentral:rRNA from 1 species
UACAGAGGUCCCAAGCGUUGUUCGGAUUCACUGGGCGUAAAGGGUGCGUAGGCGGGUCUUUUAAGUUAGGGGUGAAAUCCCAGGGCUCAACCCUGGAACUGCCUUUAAUACUGGCAAUCUCGAGUCCGAGAGAGGUGAGUGGAAUUCCGAGUGUAGAGGUGAAAUUCGUAGAUAUUCGGAGGAACACCAGUGGCGAAGGCGGCUCACUGGCUCGGUACUGACGCUGAGGUGCGAAAGCGUGGGGAGCAAACAGG